rnacentral:rRNA from 1 species
UACGGAGGGGACUAGCGUUGUUCGGAAUUACUGGGCGUAAAGCGCACGUAGGCGGAUUUGUAAGUCAGGGGUGAAAUCCUGGAGCUCAACUCCAGAACUGCCUUUGAUACUGAAGAUCUUGAGUUCGGGAGAGGUGAGUGGAACUGCGAGUGUAGAGGUGAAAUUCGUAGAUAUUCGCAAGAACACCAGUGGCGAAGGCGGCUCACUGGCCCGGUACUGACGCUGAGGUGCGAAAGCGUGGGGAGCAAACAGG